UGAUUAAUGCUCGCUCUGAUUGUCUAACUGAUUAAUUCUUUUUUCUGAUUGGCUACCUGAUUAAUGCUUUUUCUCAUGAGCUGGCUGAUUAAUGUUCGCUCUGAUUGGCUAGCUGAUUAAUUCUAGCUCUGAUUGGCUGUCUGAUUAAUGCUGGCUCUGAUUGGCUCACUGAUUAAUGCUUUUUCUGAUCAGCUUGCUGAUUAACGGUGGCUCUGAUUGGAUAGCUAAUUAAUGCUGGUUCUGUUUGGCUAGCUUAUUGCUGGGACUGAUUGGCUAUCUGAUCGACGCUGGUUCCUAUUGGCUAGCUGAUCGACGAAAAGGUCCAGAGAGCAGAGAGAUGCUGCUGGUUCUGGUUUCUAACUUCGCUGCAUUUGAUCUGAACUGAUGACAAGAGGAACCGUUGACCUCUGACCCCCAGGACAGGUCACAUGAUCUCUAACAGCAUUCUGGGUCAGGAACAUUCAGUGACUCACCUGGCAGGAAAUAACCUUCAAAAUGAUAUAAAAGACCCGCACAGACGAUGA